rnacentral:rRNA from 1 species
CAGCAGUGGGGAAUUUUGGACAAUGGGGGCAACCCUGAUCCAGCAAUGCCGCGUGAGUGAAGAAGGCCUUCGGGUUGUAAAGCUCUUACGUGAGGGAAGAAACGGCCAUAGUGCCCGCCUAGGUAUGACGUACCUCAAGAAGAAGCACCGGCUAACUACGUG